rnacentral:rRNA from 1 species
AGAGUUUGAUCAUGGCUCAGAAUGAACGCUGGCGGCGUGCCUAACACAUGCAAGUCGAACGAGAAAGUUCCCUUCGGGGGAUGAGUAAAGUGGCAGACGGGUGAGUAACACGUGGGCAACCUGCCCGGAGGUGGGGGAUAACCCUUCGAAAGGAGGGCUAAUACCGCAUGAUAUCUCGAGCACUUAGGGGCUCGAGAUCAAAGCCAGCCUCUGCUUGCACGCUGGCGCCACCGGAGGGACCCGCGCCCCAUUAGCUUGUUGGUGAGGUAACGGCUCACCAAGGCCGCGAUGGGUAGCCGGCCUGAGAGGGUGAUCGGCCACACUGGAACUGAGAUACGGUCCAGACUCCUACGGGAGGCAGCAGUGAGGAAUUUUGCGCAAUGGGCGAAAGCCUGACGCAGCGACGCCGCGUGGAGGACGAAGGCCUUCGGGUCGUAAACUCCUGUCAAGCGGGACGAAUCCUGCGGGGAUGAAUAAGCCCCGCAGUUGACGGUACCGCUGGAGGAAGCCCCGGCUAACUCCGUGCCAGCAGCCGCGGUAAUACGGAGGGGGCCAGCGUUGUUCGGAAUUAUUGGGCGUAAAGGGCGCGUAGGCGGCCGAGCAAGUCCGAGGUGAAAGCCCCCGGCUCAACCGGGGAAAUGCCUCGGAAACUGCUCGGCUUGAGUCCCGGAGAGGGUAGCGGAAUUCCCAGUGUAGCGGUGAAAUGCGUAGAUAUUGGGAGGAACACCAGUGGCGAAGGCGGCUACCUGGACGGGUACUGACGCUGAGGCGCGAAAGCUAGGGGAGCAAACAGGAUUAGAUACCCUGGUAGUCCUAGCUGUAAACGAUGGGCACUUGGUGUUGCGGGUAUCGACCCCUGCAGUGCCGAAGCUAACGCAUUAAGUGCCCCGCCUGGGGAGUACGGUCGCAAGGCUGAAACUCAAAGGAAUUUGACGGGGGCCCGCACAAGCGGUGGAGCAUGUUGUUUAAUUCGACGCAACGCGGA